rnacentral:rRNA from 1 species
AGUCGACGCUUUUUCUUUCCCGGAGCUUGCUCCACCGAAAGAAAAGGAGUGGCGAACGGGUGAGUAACACGUGGGUAACCUGCCCAUCAGAAGGGGAUAACACUUGGAAACAGGUGCUAAUACCGUAUAACAAUCGAAACCGCAUGGUUUCGGUUUGAAAGGCGCUUUUGCGUCACUGAUGGAUGGACCCGCGGUGCAUUAGCUAGUUGGUGAGGUAACGGCUCACCAAGGCAACGAUGCAUAGCCGACCUGAGAGGGUGAUCGGCCACAUUGGGACUGAGACACGGCCCAAACUCCUACGGGAGGCAGCAGUAGGGAAUCUUCGGCAAUGGACGCAAGUCUGACCGAGCAACGCCGCGUGAGUGAAGAAGGUUUUCGGAUCGUAAAACUCUGUUGUUAGAGAAGAACAAGGAUGAGAGUAGAAUGUUCAUCCCUUGACGGUAUCUAACCAGAAAGCCACGGCUAACUACGUGCCAGCAGCCGCGGUAAUACGUAGGUGGCAAGCGUUGUCCGGAUUUAUUGGGCGUAAAGCGAGCGCAGGCGGUUUCUUAAGUCUGAUGUGAAAGCCCCCGGCUCAACCGGGGAGGGUCAUUGGAAACUGGGAAACUUGAGUGCAGAAGAGGAGAGUGGAAUUCCAUGUGUAGCGGUGAAAUGCGUAGAUAUAUGGAGGAACACCAGUGGCGAAGGCGGCUCUCUGGUCUGUAACUGACGCU